UACGUAGGGGGGCAAGCGUUGUCCGGAAUCAUUGGGCGUAAAGAGCUCGUAGGCGGUCUGUCACGUCGGCUGUGAAAUCCCGAGGCUCAACCUCGGGUCUGCAGUCGAUACGGGCAAACUAGAGUAUUGCAGGGGAGACUGGAAUUCCUGGUGUAGCGGUGAAAUGCGCAGAUAUCAGGAGGAACACCGGUGGCGAAGGCGGGUCUCUGGGCAAUAACUGACGCUGGAGGAGCGAAAGCGUGGGGAGCGAACAGG
rnacentral:rRNA from 1 species